GCGAGCUCUUUGUAGCAAUACAAGGCAGACGGCUCAGUAACACGUAGUCAAUCUAACCUAUGGACGAGGAUAACCUCGGGAAACUGAGAAUAAUACUCGAUAGAUCAUAAUGCCUGGAAUGGUUUAUGGUUCAAAUGAAUUUCGCCAUAGGGUGGGACUGCGGUCUAUCAGCUUGUUGGUGAGGUAAUGGCCCACCAAGGCUAUAACAGAUACGGGCUCUGAGAGGAGAAGCCCGGAGAUGGGUACUGAGACACGGACCCAGGCCCUAUGGGGCGCAGCAGGCGAGAAAACUUUGCAAUGUGCGAAAGCACGACAAGGUUAAUCCGAGUGGUUCCUGCUAAAGGAACCUUUUGUUAGUUGUAACACCACUGAUGAAUAAGGGGUGGGCAAGUUCUGGUGUCAGCCGCCGCGGUAAAACCAGCACCUCAAGUGGUCAGGAGGAUUAUUGGGCCUAAAGCAUCCGUAGCCGGCUCUGUAAGUUUUCGGUUAAAUCUAUAUGCUCAACAUAUGGGCUGCCGGGAAUACUGCAAAGCUAGGAAGUGGGAGAGGUAGACGGUACUCCCGUAGGAAGGGGUAAAAUCCUUUGAUCUAUGGAUGACCACCUGUGGCCGAAGGCGGUCUACCAGAACACGUUCGACGGUGAGGGAUGAAAGCUGGGGGAGCAAACCGGAUUAGAUACCCCGG
rnacentral:rRNA from 1 species